GAGCACAUCUCGCAAAACCUG
rnacentral:misc_RNA from 1 species